AGAAUCAACGCUGGCGGCGUGCCUAACACAUGCAAGUCGAACGAGAAAGUGGAGCAAUUCACAAGUAAAGUGGCGCACGGGUGAGUAACACGUGACUAACCUACCCUUGAGUGGGGGAUAACCUAGGGAAACCUGGGCUAAUACCGCAUAAUACCUACGGGUCAAAGGAGCAAUUCGCUUAAGGAGGGGGUCGCGGCCGAUUAGUUAGUUGGCGGGGUAAUGGCCCACCAAGACGAUGAUCGGUAUCC
rnacentral:rRNA from 1 species